GAUUUUGUAACAAGGAGCUUCACUUCAACACCUAAUACAACAGUUGGUUCUGUAACAAGCAACUUCACUUCAGCACCGAAUACAACAGCUGAAAGCAGCACCACAUCAACACCUAAUACCACGGCUG